GACGAACGCUGGCGGCGUGCUUAACACAUGCAAGUCGAACGGAAAGGCCCUGCUUUUGUGGGGUGCUCGAGUGGCGAACGGGUGAGUAACACGUGAGUAACCUGCCCUUGACUUUGGGAUAACUUCAGGAAACUGGGGCUAAUACCGGAUAGGAGCUCCUGCUGCAUGGUGGGGGUUGGAAAGUUUCGGCGGUUGGGGAUGGACUCGCGGCUUAUCAGCUUGUUGGUGGGGUAGUGGCUUACCAAGGCUUUGACGGGUAGCCGGCCUGGGAGGGUGACCGGCCACAUUGGGACUGGGAUACGGCCCAGACUCCUACGGGAGGCAGCAGUGGGGAAUAGUGCACAAUGGGCGGAAGCCUGAUGCAGCAACGCCGCGUGCGGGAUGACGGCCUUCGGGUUGUAAACCGCUUUCGCCUGUGACGAAGCGUGAGUGACGGUAAUGGGUAAAGAAGCACCGGCUAACUACGUG
rnacentral:rRNA from 1 species